AUUGAACGCUGGCGGCAUGCCUAACACAUGCAAGUCGAACGGCAGCACGGUUGCUUGCUCCUGGUGGGGAGUGCCGGACGGGGGAGUAUAACAUCGGAACAGGCCCCGUAUUGGGGGUUGGCCCGGCGAAAGCCGGAAUAAUACUACUACCGAACUACGUAUGCAAGAGGGGUACCUUGGUCACUCGCCCUUGCGCGAUGGCCGAAGGCGGAUUAGCUUGUGUGAGGUGUAAAGGCCUACCAAGGCCACGAUCAGAAGCUGUGCUGAGAGGACGAGCAAGCACACUGGAACUGAGACACGGCCCAGACUCCUACGGGAGGCAGCAGUGGGGAAUUUUGGACAAAGGGCGAAAGCCUGAUCCAGCAAUGCCGCGUGUGUGAAGAAGGCCUUCGGGUUGUAAAGCCCUUUUGUCGGGAAAGAAAUCCGUGGGCCUAAUACGGUCGGGGGAUGACGGUACCGAAAGAAUAAGCACCGGCUAACUACGUG
rnacentral:rRNA from 1 species